UAGCCCGUGACGGGUACGGGUUGUGAGAGCAAGAGCCCGGAGAUGGAUUCUGAGACACGAAUCCAGGCCCUACGGGGUGCAGCAGGCGCGAAACCUUUACAAUGCGCGAAAGCGCGAUAAGGGAACCCUGAGUGCCAGCACACAGUGUUGGCUGUCCAACUGUUCAAAAAACAGCUGAUAGCAAGGGCCGGGCAAGACCGGUGCCAGCCGCCGCGGUAACACCGGCGGCCCGAGUGGUAACCGAUUUUAUUGGGCCUAAAGCGUUCGUAGCCGGUUUGGAAAGUCUCUUAGGAAAUCUGGCAGCUUAACUGCUAGGCGUCUAAGAGAUACUGCUAAACUUGGGACCGGGAGAGGUAAGAGGUACUCCAUGGGUAGGGGUGAAAUCUUGUAAUCCUUGGGGGACCAUCGAUGGCGAAGGCAUCUUACCAGAACGGGUCCGACGGUGAGGGACGAAAGCUGGGGGCACAAACCGGAUUAGAUACCCGGGUAGUCCCAGCUGUAAACGAUGCUCGCUAGGUGUCGGGUACGGUGCGUCCGUAGUUCGGUGCCGUAGGGAAA
rnacentral:rRNA from 1 species